rnacentral:rRNA from 1 species
UGGGGAAUCUUGCGCAAUGGACGAAAGUCUGACGCAGCCACGCCGCGUGAGUGAAGAAGGCCUUCGGGUUGUAAAGCUCUGUCGGGCGGGACGAACAAGCUUAAGGUGAAUAGCCUUAGGCCCUGACGGUACCGCCAAAGGAAGCACCGGCUAACUCUGUGCCAGCAGCCGCGGUAAUACAGAGGGUGCAAGCGUUGCUCGGAAUCAUUGGGCGUAAAGGGCAGGUAGGUGGUCUCAUUUGUCUGGGGUGAAAGCCUUGAGCUUAACUCAAGAAGUGCCCCGGAAACGGUGAGACUCGAGUCUUGGAGAGGGUCGUGGAAUUCCCGGUGUAGCGGUGAAAUGCGUAGAGAUCGGGAGGAACACCAGCGGCGAAGGCGGCGACCUGGACAAGUACUGACAC